GAAUGCAAGAAGUAAUCAUCAUUACAUUGAGCAUCUUUUAUAAGCACAAGCUAAGAUGUUCAACAUUCGUAUUCAACUACAAGAAAAUAUAUCAUCAAAACAGAUAUUAACGCGUGAUUUAAUUACAGGGGAGUAAAUUUUAUCCAAAAAAUGGGAAGAGAGACGGGAAAAGAUCAAAAGAAAACCCUCUGGUGGUGCAAUUUUGUUAUCCUUUCCACUGCCAUAAAAUGGAUUAAGCUCCCUCAAAAAGCGAGUCAGCUACCAAACAGGUCUCAAAGGGGCAGAAUAUCAAAUUCAUGAGGCAUGAAGUCUUCACUUGGUCUGUAGUAUUUGUCCGGGGAAUACAGGCUUAAGUUGGAUACUUGGCUAGUAUAAAGGCAGGCAAAUCUCUCAACCUGCACAUAUAAGAAACUAAAGAAUAUUAUCUGUUUUAAUGUCCAACAUACAAAUUAGCAGCAGUCAGAUGAAUUUGACAAGACAGCAGAGGUAAAGACUAUAAUGAAUAACCCCUUCAUCUAAAUAAACAUUUAGAAACAAAAACAAUGCUCAUGCUCAUCCAUGGCAGAUGGGGAAAUGUGUCUUUUAUGUAGAUCAGGAAAUGUAUGGCCUAACAUUUCUAGCAAAAGAGGAAUUACAGAACAGAAAUCAGACUACUAUAAUUAAAACACAUCUUACCUGAUGUGCAAACCGAGAAUUUUGAUAACCAGUCUUCAUUAGUUGACCCCAGAUCUUGUGAAACUGUUAAUUUUAUUUACCAACAUAAGUCGUCUUGACUAGUUAAAUAACUAUUUAUAUUAGACCAGCAACAGAGUUUAGAAACAUGCAAGCAGAAACGAGUUUACCUUUUGGUGACAUUCCCGUUGCGCCUGUUGGUGACUUAUUCUUACCUGAUCCCUUUGCAACUGUUAAAAGAAAAUCAGAACAUGGGUAAACUUCAUACAUUUCAUCUGAAGAAUUUGACUGCUAUCCAGGGAACUAUUGACACACCUCCAAUUCAUUCAUAGCAACAGAUAUCUUCUCCUUCUGAUCAGCAUUAAGAUCAUCAAAUCUGCAGUAACGAAGAACACAUAGUAAAGUUAGAAAAGAAGUAAAUAAUAACAAUUUAGUUUCAUCAAGUUCUAAAAAAGGCUUUCCUGAUACUUGUAGGUCUUCCUCUAUGGUAAGCAAGUAUUCAUACAAUUCACAAGCUCGACAACCAAAACAAAUUAGGGGUGACAGGACUUCUGCAUCCCACUGGAGUAAACAUUAACUGCUAAAAACUUCGUAAAAAUAUAAUAGGGAAUUUUGCACGUUUGCUUACUUAAGAGACCACUUCAGAUGAAGUAUUUGGUCUUCAAUUUGAUUACGUUCAUUCCUCAUCAAUCUAAGUUGCUUUCGUAAGUCCCUUAAGCCCCAAAGCAGUUCAACCUCCCUCUCAAGCUCUGGAACAACAAGCAUUGUUCUCCAACCUGAUAAUAAAGUGUGGGCAAAAAAGGAGAAAGUAACAAUAAUGGUCCUGCAGACCAAAGUAAUGCCAUGUCUCUUUCAAGAAUGCUAUAAGAUAAGAAUGAUAUACCAAGAACCUUUUUGCUGCGUAAAAUAUCUCCAUAAAUAUGAUCUCCCACAUAAAGAACCUAUUAAAUCGUAAAUCAUUAGAUUAAAUUCCAUAAAACUAAGGUUCACAAAUACACUAGUGGCACAUCACAAAACCAAGUGUAUGGUUAUGCAAUCAAGACUUCCACAUCCAUAAACAAAAACAGAAAACCCAAAGAAUUACUAAGCGAGUUCGGUAACUACUUUAAAGAAUCAGUAAAACAAAUCUAGAAUCACCUGUGAACUUGACUCGAUUGAGAGCAGUUUAUGAAGAUGACCAACACUGCCUCCCUGGAAAACUCGACAAGGCGCAUUUGAUUCCUUCAAUACUAUCCUUGGUGAACUAUUUCCCACCUGAGGCAUUGGAGUGCCAUUAUCAGUAUUGAGUAGCAUUCCAGACUCAGGUUCAACCUCAAAAAGAUUAGCACGAUUGUCUUCAUGGAAGAAGCCUGGUUUUGCACUGCCAGUAAUGACAACAUCAAAGUACUUCAGCCAAUCAAAGUUGCAAGUGCCACUGCCAUCCAAGACACCAACCAAGACACGGGAUCCACACAAAAAAUUCAUCACAACGUUUGUAUAGUCCCAUAAACUAUUUGUCACCAAGAAUGUCGAACGACUGGAAUCUCGAAGCAUUUUGAGCAUGGGAACUAUAGAUGCAUCCUCAUUGAUAUACCUUUUUGGAUCUUUUGCAACCAUUUGCUUUAAAGUUCCAUCGCGAUGGCACAAAUCAACUGCAGCUCGAACAUCUUUGUACAUUCGAGAAUAACUGAAGGAGAUUGUUAUUGAAAAUGGAAAUUAAAAAUACAUCAACAUUUAUAAGUUAUGGAAUCUAAUACAUCAAAGAAGGGUUACAGAAUAAAACCAUCAUCUUUUUAGGGAACAGUCAUGUCAUAGACCAUAUAUGACCAGCAAGAACUUCAGGUCACAUAAGUGAAUAUUAUUUAGUAACUGCUAAUUUGAAACUGCUAAAAGACUUUUCCACUGGAAGGAUACACUAUAAAUACACUAUCAAAAGGCUAAAGGAGUGAAUUGCAUGGAAUCAACAAUGUUUUAGGAAAAGUUGUUUUCUUUAAUCUACCACCAAGCAACUGAAGAAAAAGUACUGGUUAAUAUUCUUACUCAGCUCUCUCUGGAAUUUUUCCUGGAUUGUUGUCCUUAAAGUCAACAAGCUGGGCAAACAAGUAGGCCUCAGCUAAUGAAAAAAGAGUAUCAAUGAGUGCAUAAUCGGGCUCAUCAAAAGAAUCUCGUAUCAGUGUAUUUCCAUAAGUACCGACUUUUUCUUCCUUAGACAUCUCUCGAAAUCCAUGGUAGGCCACUUUCACAUAUUUAUGGCGAUCCAUCUUCAAAAUAUUGCCUCUCUUUUUAUCAAGAACCAAGCCUCUGACCAUGUAUUUCCAAUCAAAUGACCACCCUAUCAACUCUUGAGGAUAACCCAGAUCAUACACCAACUUUCUGAUUGUGCAUUCAUAUGCAAGGGACUCAAAAGUUUCAGGUUUGUACUGUGCCAAUGUGUAAUCCAUAUCAAAGCCUACAGCUAAAAUAUUCCUCAUAUUCAGUGAUCUGUUGCAAAAGAUCUGCUUUCCAAUUUCAAUUUUCCGCCCUCCUUCAGGAGAUGACCAUAUACAUGGUUCUUGAACACCAUCGCUGCCACCCAUAUGCUGAACCUCAGAUGUCUUGUCACCUAAAACCGUCUUGUAAUUCUCGUCCAUAGUAUAGCUGACAUGCAACUGAUUAAUUCCUGCAAAGGUCAAUUAAAAGAGCACACAGUGAAAGUGCACCACGUUAUGUUCCGAGUCUACAAAUCUUCCAAGACAUGCUCCAAGAAACACCUCCGGUGUGAAUUCCUCUGGUUUUUGAAACAAAGCAAUUCGGUUUCCCAAGAAAUCCCGAAUUAAGGCUAAUCCGGGAGUAGUAAGGAGACGUAAUACUAAACUCUAGAGAAAAGAGAGAAAGGCUGAAGGAAACAGGCCUCUUGGUUAUUCGCAUCCUGGAUUUAUAUAGGCAUCUCGGAGUGGCGAGGUGAUGAGAAAAUAAAGAAGAAGAAGAAUCGGAUACCAGAAGAUAUGUGCGAAUAAAAGUAGGCAAUGAAGGUGUAAGCGGGGAACGAGACAUCUAACAAAUCCUUAACUCGGAAUUUCGAAAGAAAGCAUUAUUCCCGUCCAGAAUUGGAUUAUCCAUAACAGGGAAAUUAACAGAAUUUAAUUCCUAGUGCGGUUCCUUUUCAUCAGCAACACAGGGAUAAAUAACAUAAAUCUUGUUUGGUUUGGCCCAGUUGUGCGCGCGCCAGAGAGAUAGAAAUAGAAAGAGAAGAAUGUGAAGCUUUGCUGACACGUGGAGGAAAGAUUAGUGGUGGUGGUGGCGGUGGUGGUGAACUGAAUCGAGGUGGGCUUGCCCGCUUUCGCUCAGCUCCUGCCACUUGGUUAGAAGCACUUCUUGAAGACGAAGAAGAGGAGGAACUAUUGAAGUCCAACCAGACUUUGACUCAGCUACUCGCAUCUAAUACUACUUCAACUAGAAAUUCAGUGCCCUUUGGUUCCUCUUCGUCUUCGGUUGAGCCUGGGAAUUUGUUUGAACCGACUGGCUUUAAGAGGCAAAACAGCUCUCCCGCUGAUAUUAUUGGUAACUCUGGCCUCGGGAGUGAUGGGUACUUUUCUAGCUUUGGAAUUCCUUCGAAUUACGAGUACAUAUCGCCGAGUAUGGAUGUGUCUCCAUCCGGUAAAAGGGCUAGAGAGGUCGACUUGCAUCACCCUUCUGCUAAAUAUCCGUCUCUGGCGAAGGGAGAGCAAAGUGGACAGGUACCUGGUGGGGUCUCUAGCUUGAUAGAGAUGGACAUGGAGAAGCUUUUGGAGGAUUCAGUGCCUUGUAGGGUUCGUGCAAAGCGAGGCUGUGCCACACAUCCUCGGAGUAUUGCAGAGAGGGUUCGAAGAACUCGAAUCAGUGACCGAAUAAGGAAGCUGCAGGAACUAGUUCCGAACAUGGAUAAGCAAACAAACACUGCAGAUAUGUUGGACGAGGCAGUAGAGUAUGUUAAGUUUCUUCAAAGACAAAUUCAGGUAUUCCCUAUUCUUUUCAGGUACUGGUGAAGCAAUCAACUUUUGUAGCCUUAAAUCUAUUUUUGUGACUCCCUAGCGAUGAACAUAUCCCAAUUUUUUUUUUCCUUCUUUUGGAAACUGGAAUGCGAAGUAGGGAUUUGUUAGUAUUUGUAAUUGAUUUAGUGAAUUAGUUGAGAUUGUUGGAAUACUUGAAACGUGACAGGAGCUUACGGAACAUCAAAGGAAAUGCACGUGCAUUGCUAAAGAAUAACAGGAACAAGGUUACAGCUACCCUCUGUUUACUGUAAUUAUCAGAUUUUUGAAGUGCUUUGCUGCAGUUCAUUGAAAAUCCAUCAUGUUAUUACAAUAUUCCCAUCUUCUGGGUCACACCCUUCUGCAACAAGUAGAUGAAAACCUGUUAGGAGGGUUACAUAAUUAUGAGGUCCAUGAUCCAGGCUUACUGCUUCAUCUUGGAAAAAUUCUUCUCUGAAGUUCACUUGGUAUCUUUGUAGUUGUAAAAUAUUGUACACAAUAAUAUAUUUUUCAAGGUAGUACUUAUCAUGCUUCUAUAUUCAUUUAUAUUUGUUUUUCAUAUCAUGUGAUAUAUUUAGAAAUCUGUAUUUUGUUAAUCUCUCUACAUUAUCAAGAAGUUAUUUGAUCAAUAAAUUCUUUGUCCACUGAUUCAAACAGGUUUCCCGUUACUUUAUCUAGCAUAGAAUUGCAGUUUGUGGUGAUUAUUCUUAGUAGUCUGUGUUGUUAUCUGGCAACAGAUCAAGUAUUUCAGGUGAGUAUUACUACCGGUGGAUCCAUUGGCCCCACUUUUUUUUUUUAGAUAUAUUAUUUGAGUAGUAUUUUUGCCUCUAAAAUUUAAGAUUCGCUCUCAUUGAAUUUUUAAAUUUACUUUCAAAGUGUUCUUACCCCAGUAACACUACCCAUUUCUUUAGAGAUUUCACUUUAAUAAUAUUUUGCUCCACUAAAUUAUAGGUUUGCCCCAUUGAAUUUUUAAAUUUGCUUCAUAAGUGAUCUUACUCCACCAACCAUCUAUUUCUUUAGAUAUUUUACUUUAAUAAAUAUUUUAUCGCACUAAAAUUUUAAGUUUGUCUCCAGUGAAUUUUUAAAUUUAGUCCAAAGUCAUUGAUAUUAUGUGUAUAUAUAACCACUCAUAUACACAUAUAUAUACACAUAUUCUGUAGCAUUGUUGCACUGGUAAUUGUUUGUUCUGAGUAUUUUUCAGUAUAUUAAAUAUUCAUACUCAUUUAGUAUUGGAAACAGGCUUUGUAUGUAAUCAUAACAAAGAUAUUGCUUUGCUUUGUAUCAAGCUUGUGAGACUUUUUUGUUCUCUCUCACUCUUCAAUGAUUGUUCACUUGAACAGUUCUUUAGACUUUGCAUUAACAAUUGUGCAGAGAAUGGCAUUGAUAUACUGAAGCUCAAUUAAUUUAGCUUAGAACUGAGAAAUCCCAAGUUAGUGUGCAAUUAUAAUAUUACAAGCAUAAUUAUAAAUGCUACCAAUGAACUAUAAAUAUUGCAGAUGGAAGACUUUUUAUCCUCUACUUGUUUUGAUGAAUAUCUGUACAAUGAUUUCAUUAUAGUUACUUUCACCAAGUGUGUUGAAUAUUUCUUCACGUUAUAUUCAAAGAGAUUACAUGGGUAGAUGAUAUCUGUUUCCAUAUGCAGUACAAAAUGCUAUGAUAUAUGGUCAGGUGCUAAAAUGGUAGGUUUGGAGGAGAAGCUGGUGAAUAUGCGGAGGUGUCGGACAAACCUCAUUCCUGUACCUGCGAUUUCCAUUACCACAUGAGAAACCCAUGCUAUUUUUUUUUCAUAUUCACUUGUGUACAAGGAGAUUUGACUGAUUUAGCAACUGAUUAUAUCUCAAAUUAUAUUUCGGUCACUAAUAAUAAUUGAUUCGUAAAGAAAUC
rnacentral:misc_RNA from 1 species